GGCCGGGCGGGCGAGCGUGAGGGGCGGCCGGGCCCGCCCCGCCUCGGCCCGCCCAGUGCCCCGCGCCCCGCCCCGCCGCCCAGCCCGAGCCCACCGCCUCCCGCCCACCGGACUUGUCCUCGGGGAGUUCGGGCCUAUCCUGUCCUGCCGUUGGCUGGGGUGACCACCUCAUCCCCAGGCAAGCCCUCCCUGUCCACCCUCGGCCGCAGAGCUGCCCCUCCCCGCUGGGCUCCGGGCGCCCCCGCUCCAUCCCGCUCCAGAGUCCCAGCUGCCCUCGGGGAACGUGGGAGGAGCGGAGGAAGCUCCUGUGGGCUGUCACGGAGCCUUCCCCGUCUUUUCCUCAAACGUCUGCCCGCUGAGCACGAAAUGGCUGCCGUUGAGGAAUCCUUCCUCCCCCGUCUCAUUCUGAUGGCUCAGGAGGUGGCCGCGGGACCAUGAGACCCUCUUUGCUACACAGGCCCACAGCCAGUCGAGUGCUUGCAGCAGCCCGCACCUUGGGGACGCUGUCUGUGGCCAGCAAGGCCCCCGACCGUCUUUAUCAGGACCCAGAGGGUUGGCUCCUUACCUUCCUCCGCCCCUCAGCUGCCUCCAGCCGCUUCUGCAGCUCCUCCAGGGAGGUGUCCUUCCUCUUGGGGGGGGAGGAGAGCAUGGGACUCUCCGGGGAAAGGUCGGAAGGGGAUUUGAGGAUGACCUCAAAGCUCUGGCCGGAGGCCCUCUUGUCCAGCUGCUUCACCUCCAUGUCUGCAGGGCAAGAGCAGACGGGGGCUUCAGGAGGGCUGCUCAAGGAGGGGGCAGGCCGAGCACACACCCAAGUCAAGGUCUGAGAGGAGGGCUGGGACUCCCAGGACCGGCCCCUCCCCACAGGGACCUCUCUCCGGAAGGCAGCCAAGCGGGGGUGCACAGACGCCACGGGAGGGGGUAGCGAGGUCAGGGCAGCAGCCGGGCACACUCACCCCCAUACUGGUAGACGGUGUUGGGGUGCGGCUGUGAGUAGAAGCAGGAGCAGAGGAGUGACAGCACCGACAGCUCCUUCAUCUUCUUGUAGGCUGUGGGCGUGAGGCCGGCCUGAGCAGGCGCCGUCCCAUCGCACCUCCAGCCCCACCUCCCUGGAUGCCCAGGCCUCCCUGCCUCUGUCCCCGUUGCUGCCCCCUUGCGCCUGUCUGGGAGCCUGUUUACCUUGAUCUUUUGUGUCCCACAUCUCUGACUCUCUCCGUCCCUCCCUCCCUCCCAGAUGUUGGCUGUCUUUCCCUGGGCACGCCUCCCUGUGGGUGUCCUGCAUUGGUCUUUCUGUUCCUGUCUCUGAGUCCCUGCCCCCCUCGCUCUGUCUGUCUCUGCCUCUCUCUCCCUCCUUUUCUCUCUCUUGGCAUUUCUGUCUGUGUCUCCGUUCAUCCUUCUGUCUUUCUGGCUCUCCAUCUGUCACUACCUCUCUUUAUAUCUUUACGUCUCCAUGAUUCUUUGUCACUGUGUAUCUUCCCGACUCUCCCUUCCCCCUGCCCCUCCGCGUACUUCUCCUUCCUCCCCUUUCGCUCUCGUGGACACUUGCCCGGUUGGUGGAGAGGUUAACCACCACACUGGUGACUGGGCCAGCACAAAUGGAGAGCUUCUGCAGGCAGCACUUUCUUGGCUGUGCACUUAGGUGAAGCCCUCAGACCCUCCUGUCUGCCCCCCAGCCCACCCCCCAUUUACCCUGUAGUGCGCCCACCGUGGGAUGAAAUCAGGUUCUCACCAGACACGCACUGGCGGCUCAUCAAAAGCCAAAGGGACGGGAGCUGUCCGUUCAGCACCACAGCCCGCCCUCUGGCCUUGCAGGGUGAGCGCCCACAGCCAGUGUCCACACUACCCAACCAGAAAAGGAGAGCGAAGAGGUGGAGGCCCAGACCUCUCCACAGACAUAGCUCCAGCCAGGAAGUGGGGCCUCGAGGCACGCCCUCCCUUUUCUCUCCUCACCAGGACCCUCUCUUCCGUCC